GCUGGUCUCACUUGUCCCAGUGCUUCUCAAAGAAGAAAAUGUGCUUGAUGAAUCGCCGGAGGACUUUGAAGUUGGCAGUCACCCAUUGCUAAUAAAUCUGAGUUUCUGAAGUGAAAGUCCAAAGAAGGGAAGACAGCAAGAAGUAGCUAUUUGUGUUUUUCAUGGUUUAUAGACCUACUGGGGAAACUUGCCACGUAAAAAAAAUGAGUAACGC